AACGAACGCUGGCGGCAUGCCUAACACAUGCAAGUCGAACGAGACCUUCGGGUCUAGUGGCGCACGGGUGCGUAACGCGUGGGAAUCUGCCCUUGGGUUCGGAAUAACUCGCCGAAAGGCGUGCUAAUACCGGAUGAUGUCGUAAGACCAAAGAUUUAUCGCCCAGGGAUGAGCCCGCGUAAGAUUAGGUAGUUGGUGAGGUAAAGGCUUACCAAGGCAACGAUCAGUAGCCGGAUUGAGAGGUUGAACGGCCACACUGGAACUGAGACACGGUCCAG
rnacentral:rRNA from 1 species